rnacentral:rRNA from 1 species
GCAAGUCGAACGAUGAAGCCGGAGCUUGCUCUGGUGAAUUAGUGGCGAACGGGUGAGUAACACGUGAGUAACCUGCCCUUGACUCUGGGAUAACUGCUAGAAAUGGUAGCUAAUACCGGAUACGACCCUCGGCGGCAUCGCCAGGGGGUGGAAAGAAUUUCGGUCAAGGAUGGACUCGCGGCCUAUCAGCUAGUUGGUGAGGUAAUGGCUCACCAAGGCGACGACGGGUAGCCGGCCUGAGAGGGUGACC